rnacentral:rRNA from 1 species
AGAAACUAACAAGGAUUCCCCUAGUAACGGCGAGUGAAGAGGGAAAAGCCCAGCACCGAAUCCCACAGCCUUGCGCUGUCGGGAACUGUGGUGUAUAGGAAGCCUACUUGUCGACGUGUUCUGGUACCCAAGUCCUCCUGAUCGUGGCUUCUCCCAUAGCGGGUGUCAGGCCCAUACAGGCACCAGACGGCGUCGGCUUGGAGCUUCCUCGGAGUCGGGUUGUUUGGGAAUG